GCACACUCUCAAGUUCAACAAAUGGCCACAGAGGGCGAAAAAAUCGACCGCGCGCUGCUGCUAAUAAAACUAGCAUAGUAAUAUCACUUCGGGAUGCUUACGUUAGUUUGAACAUUUUCCGCUGGAGGCGCCGUAAUAAGCGCAAUUUUUUUUUGCAAACUUUCGCCUACAAUUACCGAAGCACGUUUAUUACAUGAAAAAGAGGGCGAAAUUAUCAUUGCUAAUUUGAUAUUGUAUUCUUUGUAAGUAAGUUUAUUGUUUCUUUGUCAUUAUAAACGCAAAUAGCGUUCAGCAUCAUCGAUCUUUCACGUGACCUCUGGCCUGGAUUUAAAAUUUUUACCGGUAUUUUCGAGUGCAUGGCGGCACGGAUUCAUUCGUUCGUGCGCUCAGGCUGGUUGCUUCUUUUUCGCUAAAACUAGUUUAUUGCGCUUCGAUGUCACGCGUUAUUUAACCUGGGGUGAAGUGACGUGUUUGCAAGCGGACAUGCAAGCCCGAAAGUUGGGUAUCGGUCGUGAGCCAUUCGGAACACGUCUGCAUCGAAACGGGAGCUGGAUUCUGGUGCGGCUGACAACGGCAAUAACGACAUGCAGUAAUGAGGAUGGCACCAGUAUAAAGCAACACACUCCACACACUAAACAGAAGCUGCUGCCUGCUACAACAAGGCCAUUGUGUGGACAUUGGCUGCUACUACAAGAGUCCAUGCCAAGCAUACCUUGGUCAUCACAGGAGCUCCUAUCCACACCAACAGAAAGGGGCUGGAGCUGAAUUUGCAAGGCUUUUACACCACGAACAAAGAAGCGCAUGCAGAAGAAUUUACAUGAGAUAUCAAGUCUGCAGAGCACUGUGUCAAGACUGAAAAGAGCUUCAGCCACCAUUCCACCAGCGCGGACAAAUUGGCUGAGUCAUCCAGGUAACUCAAAAAGGACUUUAUGGAAAUUCUUCGUCUCCAGAUGUGCCUGCAACUUCUGAUCAAGCACGGACGAAGCUGGCCAAAAGAGUUCCAUCAGUUUGCCCUUAAUCAGCUUCCUGGCCAUGUCAAUUCCAUUUGUGCCAAGUGUAAUUUUUCUUCUAUAAAUGCAAGCUUUUUCAUUGUCCAUUCUUGUUAGAGAUCAUUCAUCCUCAUCCAAACAUAAAGGUCAACCGAUUCUUCGCUGAUACUUAAUACCAGUCACUGUCUAGUAGCAUAACAUAUUUGUAGCAGUACCUUUUAAUGCAUGUUGUCAUGCACAAUUCCUCUCCUGAAAUAGCUGAUGCAACAUCGACAUGUUUCUUGCAUUAACCUACGCACUGUUUGCUAUGCACCAUUUUACUUUUCUUGAUGUUUUUGGCCUUCAGUGCUUGCAGAGCAGGGUGGCU